AUUGAACGCUGGCGGCAUGCUUUACACAUGCAAGUCGAACGAGUGGCGAACGGGUGAGUAAUAUAUAGGAACGUACCGAGUAAUGGGGGAUAACCAGUCGAAAGAUUGGCUAAUACCGCAUAUUAUUCGAGCGGCGGAUAACUGAGUAGCUAGUUGGUGGGGUAAAGGCCUACCAAGGCGACGAGCAUUAGCGGGUCUGGGAGGACGAUCCGCCACACUGGGACUGAGACACGGCCCAGACUCCUACGGGAGGCAGCAGUGGGGAAUGUUGGACAAUGGGGGCAAGCCUGAUCCAGCCACGCCGCGUGUAUGAAGAAGGUCUUCGGAUUGUAAAGUACUUUUGUUAGGGAAGCGGUACCUAAAGAAUAAGCACCGGCUAACUACGUUCCAGCAGCCGCGGUAAUAC
rnacentral:rRNA from 1 species